rnacentral:sRNA from 1 species
GACCAGUUCGGGAGAGCUUCCACCAUGAU